GGGAGAUUAGCUCAGUAAGGCAUAGCGGUGCAAUCAAUGUUUUCAGUAGUUUGCCAUUUGUUUACAUUGCACAGGUCACGGUGUUCAAAUCCCGUAUCUUCCA
rnacentral:tRNA from 1 species